rnacentral:rRNA from 1 species
UACGUAGGGGGCAAGCGUUGUCCGGAUUUAUUGGGCGUAAAGAGCGUGUAGGCGGCCAUGUAGGUCCGUUGUGAAAACUCGAGGCUCAACCUCGAGACGCCGAUGGAAACCAUGUGGCUAGAGUCCGGAAGAGGAGAGUGGAAUUCCUGGUGUAGCGGUGGAAUGCGCAGAUAUCAGGAGGAACACCGGUGACGAAGGCGGGUCUCUGGGCAGUAACUGACGCUGAGGAGCGAAAGCGUGGGGAGCGAACAGG